GAUGAACGCUGGCGGCGUGCCUAAUACAUGCAAGUCGAGCGAACGGACGAGAAGCUUGCUUCUCUGAUGUUAGCGGCGGACGGGUGAGUAACACGUGGAUAACCUACCUAUAAGACUGGGAUAACUUCGGGAAACCGUAGCUAAUACCGGAUAAUAUUUUGAACCGCAUGGUUCAAAAGUGAAAGACGGUCUUGCUGUCACUUAUAGAUGGAUCCGCGCUGCAUUAGCUAGUUGGUAAGGUAACGGCUUACCAAGGCAACGAUGCAUAGCCGACCUGAGAGUGUGAUCGGCCACACUGGAACUGAGACACGGUCCAGACUCCUACGGGAGGCAGCAGUAGGGAAUCUUCCGCAAUGGGCGAAAGCCUGACGGAGCAACGCCGCGUGAGUGAUGAAGGUCUUCGGAUCGUAAAACUCUGUUAUUAGGGAAGAACAUAUGUGUAAGUAACUGUGCACAUCUUGACGGUACCUAAUCAGAAAGCCACGGCUAACUACGUG
rnacentral:rRNA from 1 species